rnacentral:rRNA from 1 species
AUGCAUAAGCUCGUAAACGUUCAUUAUUUGGACAAGUCGACAUUUAUGCUUGGAAAUGACGAUGAAGGGGAAGAGGCUAUGGUUUUUGACACAAGUCCAAGCUUUGAUGAUCUUGUAGUUCAAGUGAGAAGCGUCUUACAUUGGAAUGACCCAAAUGCCGAGGUUAAGCUUAUUGGGAGGUAUGACGUUGGAUUGGGAGUAAAGUCCCGAUUAAAGAGUAUGCCCAUCACCUCCCAAUUGCAUUGGAAUGUGUACAAGGAAAAAGUAGACGCAUCACAAGACAAGUCUCUUGAGAUCUUUGCCACAAAGGUUGAUCCUCCUCCUCCUUUGCAAAUUGAUCUCAACCGCAAUGCAUCCUCCCCCAUGCAUGAUGACAGUGCCGAGGUGUAUGUCCCCAAUUCUUCUAGCCAACCACCAAGUAGCCAACCC